GACGAACGCUGGCGGCGUGCUUAACACAUGCAAGUCGAACGGAAAGGCCCUGCUUUUGUGGGCUGCUCGAGUGGCGAACGGGUGAGUAACACGUGAGUAACCUGCCCUUCACUUUGGGAUAACUUCAGGAAACUGGGGCUACUAUCGGAUAGGAGCUCCUGCUGCAUGGUGGGGGUUGGAACGUUGCGGCGUUUGGGGAUGGACUCGCGGCUUACCAGCUUGCUGGUGGGGUAGUGGCUUACCAAGGCUUUGACGGGUAGCCGGCCUGAGAGGGUGACCGGCCACAUUGGGACUGAGAUACGGCCCAGACUCCUACGGGAGACAACAGGGGGGAAUAUUGCACAAUGGGCGGAAGCCUGAUGCAGCAACGCCGCGGGCGGAAUGACGGCCUGCGGGUUGAAAACCGCUUUCGCCUGUGACGAAGCGUGAGUGACGGUAAUGGGUAAAGAAGCACCGGCUAACUACGUG
rnacentral:rRNA from 1 species